UACGUAGGGUGCAAACGUUGCUCGGAAUUAUUGGGCGUAAAGCGCACGUAGGCGGCUUUGUGUGUCGGAUGUGAAAUCCCUCGGCUUAACCAAGGAAGUGCAUUCGAAACUGCGAAGCUUGAGUACUUAAGAGGAUCGCGGAAUUCCCGGUGUAGAGGUGAAAUUCGUAGAUAUCGGGAGGAACACCAGUGGCGAAGGCGGCCGUCUGGACGGAUACUGACGCUGAGACGCGAAAGCGUGGGUAGCAAACAGG
rnacentral:rRNA from 1 species